CUGUAGAAAUAAGAAUUUAUAAAGAUGACGAAUAUUAAAAACUAAGAAAAACACAUUGAUUUGUUUACUAUCAAGUAUCGAUAAUUAAUGAGAAGCGAUAGUUUUUUUAUGAAGAUAAUUUUUGUCGUGUGAAAAUUUGCUGCUCGUUACAAAAAUGCACAUUAUAUACAAGGAAUAUAUACAGCGAUGUUUCCGAGUUUAAAAAAGUAAAUUGAAUUGCAAGAAUGUGAAAUGAACAAGAAAAAAUUAUUUUGUGAUAUAUGCAUAAAAAUUGUACAACUUGUAAAAAUGUACAUUAAUAUACAUUAAAUUGAUGAAAUGAAGAAACCAUUUUCUGCAAUAUAAGACAAAAAGUAAUAAGAAGAAAAAACAACUGGUAAUAUAGGUAACUGAGCAUUAAUUGCAACAUGAAAGGCACCUUUUUUAAAUGGAU